rnacentral:rRNA from 1 species
UGGGGAAUAUUGGACAAUGGGCGCAAGCCUGAUCCAGCAAUGCCGCGUGUGUGAAGAAGGCCUUCGGGUUGUAAAGCACUUUCAGCAGGGAGGAAAGCCUUAGGGUUAAUAACCCUGAGGGGUGACGUUACCUGCAGAAGAAGCACCGGCUAACUCUGUGCCAGCAGCCGCGGUAAUACAGAGGGUGCAAGCGUUAAUCGGAAUUACUGGGCGUAAAGCGCUCGUAGGCGGAUUCUUAAGUCGAUUGUGA